UACAGAGGUCCCAAGCGUUGUUCGGAUUCACUGGGCGUAAAGGGUGCGUAGGUGGCCGGGUAAGUUUGAUGUGAAAGCUCGGAGCUUAACUCCGAAAUGGCAUUGAAUACUAUCCGGCUUGAGGGUCGGAGGGGAGACUGGAAUUCUCGGUGUAGCAGUGAAAUGCGUAGAUAUCGAGAGGAACACCAGUGGCGAAAGCGGCGCACUGGACCACAUCUGACGCUGAGGCGCGAAAGCUAGGGGAGCAAACAGG
rnacentral:rRNA from 1 species